AGAUUGAACGCUGGCGGCAGGCCUAACACAUGCAAGUCGAGCGGUAGAGAGGUGCUUGCAUCUCUUGAGAGCGGCGGACGGGUGAGUAAUGCCUAGGAAUCUGCCUAGUGGUGGGGGAUAACGUUCGGAAACGGACGCUAAUACCGCAUACGUCCUACGGGAGAAAGCGGGGGACCUUCGGGCCUCGCGCCAUUAGAUGAGCCUAGGUCGGAUUAGCUAGUUGGUGAGGUAAUGGCUCACCAAGGCGACGAUCCGUAACUGGUCUGAGAGGAUGAUCAGUCACACUGGAACUGAGACACGGUCCAGACUCCUACGGGAGCAGCAGUGGGAAUAUUGGACAAUGGGCGAAAGCCUGAUCCAGCCAUGCCGCGUGUGUGAAGAAGGUCUUCGGAUUGUAAAGCACUUUAAGUUGGAGGAAGGCAGUUACCUAAUACGUAUCUGUUUGACGUUACCGACAGAAUAAGCACCGGCUAACUCUGU
rnacentral:rRNA from 1 species